rnacentral:tRNA from 1 species
CGGCGAGCGGGAAAGCCUGGUUAAUCCGCCUGCUUCGGGAGCAGGAGACCGCGAGUUCGAAUCUCGCCUCGCCGACCA